rnacentral:rRNA from 1 species
GAUGAACGCUGGCGGCGUGCCUAAUACAUGCAAGUCGAGCGAACAGACGAGGAGCUUGCUCCUCUGACGUUAGCGGCGGACGGGUGAGUAACACGUGGAUAACCUACCUAUAAGACUGGGAUAACUUCGGGAAACCGGAGCUAAUACCGGAUAAUAUAUUGAACAGCAUGGUUCAAUAGUGAAAGACGGUUUUGCUGUCACUUAUAGAUGGAUCCGCGCCGCAUUAGCUAGUUGGUAAGGUAACGGCUUACCAAGGCGACGAUGCGUAGCCGACCUGAGAGGGUGAUCGGCCACACUGGAACUGAGACACGGUCCAGACUCCUACGGGAGGCAGCAGUAGGGAAUCUUCCGCAAUGGGCGAAAGCCUGACGGAGCAACGCCGCGUGAGUGAUGAAGGUCUUCGGAUCGUAAAACUCUGUUAUUAGGGAAGAACAAAUGUAUAAGUAACUAUGCACGUCUUGACGGUACCUAAUCAGAAAGCCACGGCUAACUACGUG